GGAGUGUUGGCUCAAUUGGUACAGCAGCAGUCUUGAAAACUGCCAUUCCGAAAGGAUAUUAGGGUUCAAAUCCCUAACACUCCG
rnacentral:tRNA from 1 species